rnacentral:rRNA from 1 species
CCUACGGGUGGCAGCAGUGGGGAAUAUUGGGCAAUGGACGCAAGUCUGACCCAGCCACGCCGCGUGAAGGAAGAAGGCUUUCGGGUUGUAAACUUCUUUUAAGGGGGAAGAGCAGAAGACGGUAACCCUUGAAUAAGCCACGGCUAACUACGUGCCAGCAGCCGCGGCAAUACGUAGGUGGCCAGCAUUGUCCGGAUUUACUGGGUGUAAAGGGCGUGCAGCCGGUGAGACAAGGCAGAUGUGAAUUCCACGGGCUCAACCCGUGAACUGCAUUUGAAACUGGUUCCCUUGAGUGUCGGAGAGGUAAUCGGAAUGCGUAGUGUAGCGGUGAAAUGCGUAGAUAUUAGGAAGAACACCAGUGGCGAAGGCGGAUUACUGGACGAUAACUGACGGUGAGGCGCGAAAGCGUGGGGAGCAAACAGGAUUAGAUACCCGUGUAGUC